rnacentral:rRNA from 1 species
UACGUAGGGCCUAGCGUUGUCCGGAAUUAUUGGGCGUAAAGAGCUCGUAGGCGGUUCGGCAAGUCGGAUGUGAAAUCUCCACGCUUAACGUGGAGGGGCCAUUCGAAACUGCUGUGACUCGAGUCCGGUAGGGGAGUGUGGAAUUCCCGGUGUAGCGGUGAAAUGCGCAGAUAUCGGGAGGAACACCAGUAGCGAAGGCGGCACUCUGGGCCGGUACUGACGCUGAGG